CCUACGGGUGGCAGCAGUGGGGAAUAUUGCACAAUGGGGGAAACCCUGAUGCAGCAACGCCGCGUGGGUGAAGGAGCGUUUCGGCGCGUAAAGCCCUGUCAGUGGGGAAGAAGAAAGACGGUACCCGACCAAGAAGCUCCGGCUAACUACGUGCCAGCAGCCGCGGUAAUACGUAGGGAGCAAGCGUUGUCCGGAAUUACUGGGCGUAAAGGGCGCGUAGGUGGGCGCUUAAGUCAGGUGUGAAAACUCCGGGCUCAACCUGUAGACUGCACUUGAAACUGGGUGUCUUGAGGGCAGGAGAGGAAAGUGGAAUUCCUGGUGUAGCGGUGAAAUGCGUAGAUAUUAGGAGGAACACCAGUGGCGAAGGCGACUUUCUGGACUGUACCUGACGCUGAGGCGCGAAAGCGUGGGUAGCGAACGGGAUUAGAUACCCGAGUAGUC
rnacentral:rRNA from 1 species